rnacentral:rRNA from 1 species
AUUGAACGCUGGCGGCAUGCCUUACACAUGCAAGUCGAACGGCAGCACGGGUGUUUGCCCCUGGUGGCGAGUGGCGAACGGGUGAGUAAUAUAUCGGAACACGUCCUGUAGUGGGGGAUAGCCCGGCGACAGCCGGAUUAAUACCGCAUACGAUCCACGGAUGAAAGCGGGGGACUUUCGGGCCUCGCGCUAUAGGGUUGGCCGAUGGCUGAUUAGCUAGUUGGUGGGGUAAAGGCCUACCAAGGCGACGAUCAGUAGCUGGUCUGAGAGGACGACCAGCCACACUGGGACUGAGACACGGCCCAGACUCCUACGGGAGGCAGCAGUGGGGAAUUUUGGACAAUGGGCGAAAGCCUGAUCCAGCAAUGCCGCGUGUGUGAAGAAGGCCUUCGGGUUGUAAAGCACUUUUGUCCGGAAAGAAAUCCUUGGCUCUAAUACAGUCGGGGGAUGACGUUACCGGAAGAAUAAGCACCGGCUAACUACGUG